UAUGGCCAUAUAGCAUUGAAACAUUGGCUCCUGUACUAUCAUCAAAGUUAAGCAACAUCAUGCCUGGUCAGUACCUAGAUGGGUGACUGCUUGGGAAUACCAGGUGCUGUAAG